UACGUAGGGGGCAAGCGUUGUCCGGAUUUAUUGGGGUUAAAGGGUGCGUAGGCGGCUUUGUAAGUCAGUGGUGAAAUAUGGCAGCUCAACUGUCAGGGUGCCAUUGAUACUGCGGAGCUUGAGUACAGAUGAGGUAGGCGGAAUUGACGGUGUAGCGGUGAAAUGCUUAGAUAUCGUCAAGAACACCGAUAGCGAAGGCAGCUUACUGGGCUGUAACUGACGCUGAGGCACGAAAGUGUGGGGAUCAAACAGG
rnacentral:rRNA from 1 species